rnacentral:tRNA from 1 species
AUUAUUUUGGCAGAUUAGUGCAUUAAAUUUAGAAUUUAAUAGAAAUAUAAUGAUUUAUAUAAAUAAUA